UACAGAGGUGGCAAGCGUUGUUCGGAAUUACUGGGCGUAAAGGGCGCGUAGGUGGCCUUCUUAGUCAGACGUGAAAUCCCUGGGCUCAACCCAGGAACUGCGUCCGAUACUGGAAGGCUUGAAUCCGGGAGAGGGAUGCGGAAUUCCAGGUGUAGCGGUGAAAUGCGUAGAUAUCUGGAGGAACACCGGUGGCGAAGGCGGCAUCCUGGACCGGCAUUGACGCUGAGGCGCGAAAGCCAGGGGAGCAAACAGG
rnacentral:rRNA from 1 species